rnacentral:lncRNA from 1 species
UAGACUAGCCAUUCAUCUUUAAUCCUUUCUGAAAUGGUUAAGAAAGGAAUAGCAAGAGUGAGCAACAAUGCUCAGCAAGUAAUAAUAAACAAUAACAAUAGUGAAUCAAUAUGAUAGUAGUUCAAAGGCUCAAGAUACUUUAGUAAAAGAUUCGACAUAAAUUCAUAAGAUUAAGGUAUUGUAUAGAAUGAUUCACAAUACCUUGCAACAAUGGAAUACUGGAGUAAUUCAAUCUUUCCAAGAGAAUUAUUGAAUUGGACUAUCACAUUUUAAUUAAAACAAAGGUUAGGAUGCUGAUCAGUCAUACCUAACCCCGAGCAGGCCCCGCCAUGCUCUGUCACUGGAUCCAAGGCACUCAUUGGCCUAACAUGACCACUCAUCUGGUCUGACCACUCAUUUGGUCCACAAAAUUUUAUAAAAACAAUAAUCCAAUUCUAUAAUUCAAUUCAACAGGUCAGUGUAAAUCAACAGAACAUCCUCAUAAAUAUCAUCAACAACAGAUUAAUUUCAAAUCAAACUUGGAUAAUAAUCUAUCCAUAAAUCAUGAUCCAUCAUUUCAUAAAUCACAGUUCAGGAAAUCCUCAACUAUUCAGUAUCCUCCAUUAUCGGCUAAGCAACUGAAUUUAGCCUGCUAAACCAGCAUGACAAUGGCGGGUUGAAUAAUCAAGAAGAUCCCAAUUCAUUCAAAGCUCUAACUAUCACUGAGCAACACAUGCUUCAAUGACAAUCUGAACUUCGAAUUGAUUUAUAAAGCUGGAAUUCUUUAGAAACUUGAGGAUUGAAAAGAAUGGAUCAGAAUACUCGCACUUUUAAAUAUAGCACAGAAAGGUAUGAAUAUUUGAAACAUAUACCAAAGGAAUGGAUCAGAAUAUUUUCAAUAUAUCCAAGAGAAGGAUUUAGGAUACUUGCCUUAAAUCUGACUCCAGUCUCACAUCUCUAUCUCAUCUUUCCACUUUCACAAUCUAUCCAUAUCAUAAUUUCUAGACCAUCUCUAGCCGUACUCUAUUCGCCACAUCGCUUCGCUUACUCGAUUCAUCCCUUAUUCGCCUUGCAAUACCAUUUCGACUUCCUGACGUCUUCGAGCGUACAAGUCUCGUCCAAAUCCUUUACGAGAAUAAGAUAAUACUAUAGUCACUAAACAAUAUAUCGCAUAUACAUAUCACGUAUACCGAUACCCACUUAUAUACCCCUUUAAACUUAUCACAUAUCACUUAACACGUAAUCAUGCUUUGACUCUACCAUAUAGUCAAGUCAUAUUCCACAUAACAUAUUACCAAUCACUUAUCAUAUGAAUCCUAUCGAAAAUCCGACAUCGUCUCGUCUAUUUAUUAGACUAUCCACCUGUUAUCCUAUCUCAAUCAACAAUCAACCAACAAGAUCCAAUCACUAUAAUCCAUAUAUUCUUAUCCAAUAUCAAUCAACUCACGACACUAUGUCAUCCAAAUCAUUUAUCACACGCAUAUACUAUCAUGAAUAAACAUGUAUAUCACGUAGUCAUUAGUUAAUAGCAACCAAAUAACAUAUAAUCACAUUUUGCACAUUUAACAAAAAUUAUUCAGAUUCUCGACUCCAUCAUAAUAUUAUGUCAUAUCAAACUAGACUUUAUAAGCUUCUGUCUCUCUUUCGUUUCACUUGAUUCCGACUUACGGAUCAAAAGUUAUGCUCAAAAUAGUUUUCUCACUCUCCUAUCGGCACAUAACACAUCCAACCAAUAGCAGACAACACACAACACAUAAGGUUUCCCAUCCCAAUUGAUAUUAAAUCAAGUCUUGGGUUAAAAAUGAUUUUUCGGGAAUUUUCUGGAAUUUUUAAACAUUUUUCGGAAUUAAAAUCGAUAAAAGAAUCACUUUUCGGAUAAAUAAUCAAGUCCCAAAUACUUGAAAUUGGACUUGAAAUCAUUCAUAAACAAUUAUCGAGCCUUGAAAAUAAUUUGGAAAAAUAUUUUAAAGCUCGAAACUAUUUUUCGGAAUUUUUAAAUCAAAAAGGAUUAAUUAAAUCCAAUUAAUUAAUCAAUUAAAAUCAAUUAAUAAUUAAUUAAAAUAAUUAAUCAAUUAAUAUUUAAAUUAAUUGACCAAUUAAAAUAAUUAAUUACUAAUUAAAAUUAAUUAACAAACUAAUUUAGAUUUAUUUUUGAAUAAAGAAAUAAUUAAAAACUAUAUUUGAAAUUCAAAAUAAUUAAAUAAAACAAUUUUAGAAAAUUAAAUCAAAAGGUUUAUUUUGUAAGUUUUUAAAACUUUCUGGCAAGGGUGUAAAGUGUAACUUAUAAAAGUGUCAGGGGUCAAUUUGCCAGAAAAGAAACUAGAGUACAAAAUCUUCACCACCUCCAAAAGUUUGGGGGCUAAACGGCAUUUUCGCCGUCGCCGCCCCCAGACUCGCCGCCGGCGAGUCGCCGGUGUUGCCACCGCGCCCAGAACUCAGCAAACAACUCCAGAUUUAUUAAAUAGCAUCCCAGGAACUCGUAUAUGGUCUCGGAUUUCAAAACAAAUCAUUAAUCAAGCCAGAAAAUUAGAUCAAAGCUAAGAACGCCGCCGGAGUUUAAAUAUCCGGCAAGCUCGCUACGGCUUCCUCCGCACAAUCCAAACAUACCAAUCAACUCUACACAUCCCAAUGAACAUAUUCCAAGCCUCAAAACUCACCCAGACUUAACCGAACUCAGAAAUCGAAUUUUCAAUUAAAAGCUUCAAGAACACACGAAGAAAACUCAAGAACAUACAAUCCCGGAAUCAAACUAACCUUUACAUAUGAUUCCGAACUCCAAAUUCAACAUAUAAUAUAUCAAAACGACGAGAAAACCAUGCUCUACAUCAUAGAAUCAUCAAAACGAUCAAACAAGAUCCAUUACGAAAAUUCAUCAAUUAAAAUCAAAUAAUUCGAAUUUUAUAAAAAUAAUGUAAAAUCACCUGAUACAUCUGCACUGUUAUGGUCGAUUAAUCUAUAUUCUACGCGUCGAGAGCUUCGUUUUGACUAUUCAUACGCCUCCAUCGGAUUCCAAUAACGCCUUCAAAUCUUCGUUUGAUUAUGAAGAACACGAAGAACACCGCUCGGUUUCUCCCGGUAUUCGUGCAGAGAAACUGGUGAAAU